rnacentral:piRNA from 1 species
UGGAACUCACUUUGUAGACCAGGCUGGCCU